rnacentral:misc_RNA from 1 species
GAUGAAGAACGCAGCGAAAUGCGAUAAGUAGUGUGAAUUGCAGAAUUCAGUGAAUCAUCGAAUCUUUGAACGCACAUUGCGCCCCUUGGUAUUCCAUGGGGCGUGCCUGUUCGAGCGUCAUUUGUACCUUCAAGCUUUGCUUGGUGUUGGGUGUUUGUCUCGCCUUUGCGUGUAGACUCGCCUUAAAAUAAUUGGCAGCCGGCGUAUUGAUUUCGGAGCGCAGUACAUCUCGCGCUUUGCACUCAUAACGACAGCGUCCAAAAGUACAUUUUACACUCUUGACCUCGGAUCAGGUAGGGAUACCCGCUGAACUUAAGCAUAUCAAUAAGCGGAGGA